rnacentral:rRNA from 1 species
AGAGUUUGAUCAUGGCUCAGGAUGAACUCUAGCGGCAGGCUUAACACAUGCAAGUCGAGGGGCAGCAUAAUGGAUAGCAAUAUCUAUGGUGGCGACCGGCGCACGGGUGCGUAACGCGUAUGCAACCUACCUUUAACAGGGGGAUAACACUGAGAAAUUGGUACUAAUACCCCGUAAUAUCAUAGAAGGCAUCUUUUAUGGUUGAAAAUUCCGGUGGUUAGAGAUGGGCAUGCGUUGUAUUAGC